rnacentral:piRNA from 1 species
UGCUCUACCUCGGCAUACUGCUUCUUG